rnacentral:rRNA from 1 species
AGGACGAACGCUGGCGGCGUGCUUAACACAUGCAAGUCGAGCGGUAAGGCCCUUCGGGGUACACGAGCGGCGAACGGGUGAGUAACACGUGGGUGACCUGCCCUCAGCUCUGGGAUAAGCCUGGGAAACUGGGUCUAAUACCGGAUAUGACCACAUGUCGCAUGGUGUGUGGUGGAAAGUGCGUUCUUUGUUGAGCGUUUCGGCUGGGGAUGGGCCCGCGGCCUAUCAGCUUGUUGGUGGGGUGAUGGCCUACCAAGGCGACGACGGGUA